UGUGGGAGCGAGCCUGCUCGCGAUAGCGGAGUGUCAGUCACUUCAAUGCUGCUGACCCGCCGCUAUCGCGAGCAGGCUCGCUCCCACA
rnacentral:misc_RNA from 1 species